rnacentral:rRNA from 1 species
CCUACGGGUGGCAGCAGUGGGGAAUAUUGGUCAAUGGGGGAAACCCUGAUCCAGCGACGCCGCGUGAGGGAAGAAGUAUUUCGGUACGUAAAGCUCUAUCAGCAGGAGAGAAAAUGACGGUACCUGACUAAGACGCCACGGCUAACUACGUGCAAGCAGCCGCGGUAAUACGUCGGGGGCAAGCGUUAUCCGGAUUUACUGAGUGUAAAGGGGGCGUAGACGGGAGCGAAAGUCUGGAGUGAAAUGCCGGGGCCCAACCCCGGAACUGCUCGGGAAACUGUGAAGCUGGAGUGCAGGAGGGGUAAGCGGAAUUCCUGGUGUAGCGGUGAAAUGCGUAGAGAUCAGGAGGAACACCGGCGGCGAAGGCGGCUUACUGGACUGCAACUGACGUUGAGGCUCGAAGGCGUGGGGAGCAAACAGGAUUAGAUACCCGGGUAGUC